CUCGGGAGGCUAUGAGCCGGAGGGAC
rnacentral:piRNA from 1 species